rnacentral:rRNA from 1 species
UACGGGGGGCAAGCGUUGUUCGGAAUUACUGGGCGUAAAGGGCUCGUAGGUGGCCAACUAAGUCAGACGUGAAAUCCCUCGGCUUAACCGGGGAACUGCGUCUGAUACUGGAUGGCUUGAGUUUGGGAGAGGGAUGCGGAAUUCCAGGUGUAGCGGUGAAAUGCGUAGAUAUCUGGAGGAACACCGGUGGCGAAGGCGGCAUCCUGGACCAACACUGACACUGAUGAGCGAAAGCCAGGGGAGCAAACGGG